CGCGCCGUGGGUUCCGAGCGCCAUUUUGGCCCCUGCGGCCGGUCCUCGGGGCACCGUGGCCGCCCGUCCUAUCCGGCCGACCUUCCCUCGCGGGCCGUGCGCCCGGAGCCCACGCGGCGCCGCCUGGCGGGGUCUUGGCGGGACCGGCGGACUCUGAAUAAACUGAAAGCCAUUGAACUGUACAUUUUACGUCACGAGGCUGCUCUGUCAGCACAGCGCUUGAUGGAAACGACAGAUAGGUCUACUGUCCCAGUGAACGCCGCGGGGUGGCAGACACGCUCUGGAACUCACACUGUUGGCUCUUCGGGGUCUCCAGCUUGCCGUCUGCAAAUCCUGGGGCUUCUCAGCCUCUUUGUGCAAAUGUGGAGUUAGCCUCUAUCCAAACAUCAGACCUUGAUUUCGGUGCACUUCUUCGUGUCCUGCUGGGCUUGCUGUGGGCAUCCUUCCAAGGGUCUGCACCCAACACCUACCCGUUCAGGCUGUGAUGGCCCGGUGUCUUCAGCAGAGCUGGGCAGCAGGAGCUCAGCGUGCAAGCACUUCCACCUGCCGGACACCAGGCCACAAGGAGGCUCUGCAUGAUGAUGCAAGGAGCGGAGGCUCUUAAGGAGAAAACAUCUUCGUUGAUACCUGUCCUUUGAAUUCGCUUCUAUCCAGAUAAAUGGCGUUUGAUAAAUAGAUGUUUCUUAAUUUAAGUUGAGGCUUUCUGUUGGUUUUUAAAUGUGUGGCUUUGUGAUACUUCCUCUCGAGGAGAAUGAGACCCUGCAAGGGCAACUUACCUGUGCCAGGUCACGGAGCCAAUCAGGUCAAGGCCACAGCUCGAACGCAGGCAUUGAAACAAUGAUGACUUCUGUUGUCCUACCCAUUAAUCACUCUAACCUGGGAGUUUAAGCAAAUGCAAGUUCCGGAGGAAAUAUUUUGGGGCCAAUGGUCAUCUCAGAAUCUUCAGAGCACUGCCAAUUGUUUGCUUCCGUGACCCUGUGUUCACUGGAGCACUGGGGAGAUCUGUCUUGCUGGGCCUCUCACAGGUGUAUUAUUCUGAGCGUGUCUCCAUUAAGGAAGACUGUUGGUUUGUUUAUUGAUUUAUGCACUUGGUCGAAGUUAGGGUAUGUGAUCGGGGCGUCACAUUUCUGUGUCAGUGGGGGUCACGGAUAACUCAUAUGCACAGGACUUGACAGGAACAUGGGAAUUAUUAAGUCUGCUGUUCGGAGCCGUCCUGCCCAGGACUGCCUCUGGGGCUUGGGAAAAGGAAUACUCUGACGCAUCAACAUGGUGUGAGGGGGCAGCUUCUCCAGGGAAAAUGCCUCGGGGUGACCGUAUUCUGCCCAUGCUGUGAAGGGAUGCCUGGAGAGGACUCACCGUGUCUCUUGUGCCUCCAGCCUCACCUCCUGAAACUGCAGCAUUAAUAUGACUGCAAAGCUGCCUGAAGCCAGCCAUGUCACCUGGGCAUAGCAUCUAGUUCUAGACACUGUCUUCCUAGCAACCAGCGCAUCCUGCCAUGCCUUUGCAAAUCAUAACAAUGACCAGUCAUCAUACGCAUGCCCCACUGUAGCUUUACAAAGACAGCCUGUCUGUGGACACGGGCAGACGGUUACUUGAGGUGACAGGCUUGACCAAGCCUUUACAUCAAGGUAAAUGUCCAAUUCACAGAUGUCUUCUCUAGCUGCUUACCUGAUUGUCUGUUUAAAUAUAUCCAGUUAACUGAAUAAUGCUCUGAUUUUGUGUCAAGCAGACACAAACCUCAUUAUUAGCCAAAGAGUGGUCAUCACUCUCAGUUUUGAUGUCAAAUUCAGGAAAGCGCUUUUUAAUAUAAAGUAUUCUUCUCAUUGAUUCAUUCUCUUGUAUUUUUAAUCUCAUGUGCCCCCUGUUGUGCCAGGAGCUGGCAUGGCAAAGGGAGGAUGGAGCUGGGAAACCUGCAGCCCAGCAGGGGGAGGCGGUGAACGCAGC
rnacentral:lncRNA from 1 species